AUUGAACGCUGGCGGCAGGCCUAACACAUGCAAGUCGAACGGUAACAGGAAACAGCUUGCUGUUUCGCUGACGAGUGGCGGACGGGUGAGUAAUGUCUGGGAAACUGCCUGAUGGAGGGGGAUAACUACUGGAAACGGUAGCUAAUACCGCAUAACGUCGCAAGACCAAAGAGGGGGACCUUCGGGCCUCUUGCCAUCGGAUGUGCCCAGAUGGGAUUAGCUAGUAGGUGGGGUAACGGCUCACCUAGGCGACGAUCCCUAGCUGGUCUGAGGGGAUGACCAGCCACACUGGAACUGAGACACGGUCCAGACUCCUACGGGAGGCAGCAGUGGGGAAUAUUGCACAAUGGGCGCAAGCCUGAUGCAGCCAUGCCGCGUGUAUGAAGAAGGCCUUCGGGUUGUAAAGUACUUUCAGCGGGGAGGAAGGGAGUAAAGUUAAUACCUUUGCUCAUUGACGUUACCCGCAGAAGAAGCACCGGCUAACUCCGUG
rnacentral:rRNA from 1 species